rnacentral:rRNA from 1 species
AACGAACGCUGGCGGCAUGCCUAACACAUGCAAGUCGAACGAGACCUUCGGGUCUAGUGGCGCACGGGUGCGUAACGCGUGGGAACCUGCCCUUAGGUUCGGAAUAACUCCCCGAAAGGGGUGCUAAUACCGGAUAAUGUCUUCGGACCAAAGAUUUAUCGCCUUUGGGUGGGCCCGCGUUGGAUUAGCUAGUUGGUAGGGUAAAAGCCUACCAAGGCGACGAUCCAUAGCUGGUCUGAGAGGAUGAUCAGCCACACUGGGACUGAGACACGGCCCAGACUCCUACGGGAGGCAGCAGUGGGGAAUAUUGGACGAUGGGCGAAAGCCUGAUCCAGCAAUGCCGCGUGAGUGAUGAAGGCCUUAGGGUUGUAAAGCUCUUUUACCCGGGAUGAUAAUGACAGUACCGGGAGAAUAAGCUCCGGCUAACUCCGUG